rnacentral:lncRNA from 1 species
CUCUUCCACCGCCCCGAGGAAGGGGGUGAACCCAUCUUCCUCCUCCCUUCCACCAUGAUUGUGAGGUAGUGGGGCCUUGGUGUGUGGUGGAGACUGGCUGGCUCCUCCCCGUGUCUGCUGUGGUGGUGAGGGACACAGGCUGCUGAGGUCUCUGUUGUGGGACCCUAUCCCCUGACACUUCCCAAGCGUGGUUUUAAUGAGGAGUGCUGGGGCUGCCCUGAGAUGUGAUAUUUCAUCAUUGUGUGAUUAGUUUGUUCAAGAAAAGAAGAACACCUAUGUUGGCCAGAAGGCACCAGUUCUCUAACAAACCCAAAUAAACUGUCCAGCCCGAGGGGAAACUGAGGCAGUGGCUGCAUCCUAAUGCCAGAGUAGUUCUUCAUUUAACCUCCCCCCAAACAAGGAGAAUUCUGAUACAAAAAGCCUGCAGCACAUUCAUCACCCUACCCAAAGGGUGGCGGGGGGAGAGAAUCAUCAGAGAACUGUUACAGCUCCCUGCACCUAAGCAGUUUAGCCCUGGUAAAAGUUAGAGCUGUGGAUUAUCUGCUCCAGCGUAUGUCACUGGCAUUGGGUUCCUCAAGGAUCUUGCACCAGUGAAGAACCAGGAAUAGUCAUGCUCUGGAUGAGCAAAGUGGACUUGAUGGACUGGAGAAUGCAAACUCUAAAAGUCACUUCCUCUCGCCUUUAUAAUUCAAUACAUAUGCUUGUACCCCAUUAGAAACAGCAACCUGAACUCUGACCACGUCUAAGAAGUUUGUAUACCAAUAAAUGUGUUCUUCAUGUUUGGUUCAGUCCAACGGCUGCUGAAGUUGGUGGAAAGAUUCCUGUUAUCUUCCAUCAGAUUUGGAGGUCAGGUUGUUGAAUUUUAGUAAACC